UGCUCCAUUCUCGAUAUGUAGGAUCAUUUCACCUUCUCUCAACCUCUUGCAAUCUUCAAGAUCCUGCAAAGAAGUACAUAGAUGAGCACUAGAUCCAGAGUCAAUCAACCAACUAGAUGCAGGAGAAAUCAUUAGUUUGUUUCUAUAAUGAGUAUAUCUUCAGAAGGUUCACCUUUCCUCUUAUUCUUCCUACUUGCUAGGUAAGUAGGGC
rnacentral:lncRNA from 1 species